AUAGACAAGCCCAUGCAAUCACUGUGGUGAGGACAAGUGAGGGAGGGCUAUGUGGGGAGCAUUCAAAUGAGUAAAACCGCCAACGAGGGUCAUGUGAGUGACAGGGAGGCAGUCCCUGUAUCCCUAGGUGAGGCAUGGCCUCAUCUCUCAGGCUUUACAUUUAAGUGCAAUUACUCAUGUUAAUGCAGGGCAUUUGGGGUCCUACUGAAGUGUGAUGGAGAGAGGAGAUAUUCAGGGUUCUUAUUUUUCUCCUUUCCACUUAACAUGGUUACACUCCCUCCACCCUGCAUUCUCUGCCCUGUCCCCAACUUACAGCAAAUACACUAGAGGCCUGGCCUCCAAAUCCCUCCUCUUAACUCAUGCUGGUUUAAUUGAGAAUGCAAAAGAUUUUCCUCAUACUGUGUUUUAUAAAUAAUAUAAAUUAUGUCUUUUUAUUUAGUUUUUAAGAUGCAAUUUCUAGGAGUGGGGGGUGGUGUUAAGCUCCCUGCCGUGCCUUAAAAUAGAAGUACCUUCCCUCACGAUAGGCUUCCACAGUCCACAGACCAAUAAAGCAAGAAUUACCAUGACUUUAUAUUGUACACUUGGGAGGUGAACCUGUACACUUGGGAGGUGAACCUGAGCCCAGAAAAUGGAGCGGAUUCUCUGAGAUCCGGCUCUCUUUCUUCAGUCGCAUGCCCAACUUCCCAGGCACUUUGUUUUCCCUUCAGUAAUGGAGCAUUGGGAAAUAAUUGUCUGUGAGUUACUCAGACAUCUCUGGACUGUGCCCUCUUUUUCCAAGGGGGCAAUACCCACCAUAUAGCCAUACGUGAGAACAGAAUUGGAAGCCAUUUUCUGGCUUAGAAACACGUACACCCCAGAGUCUUAAAAUUUUCAUCUUUCCAUCUCCCACUGCAGAUUCAAUGAGUCAGAGGCACUCUGUCCCUUUUAAUAAUAUUUUGCAGAUAUCCAGUUGCAAAUUAGGGUGAUUGCCCCCUGUUCUUAAGCUGAUUAUCAUGCUUCUAUGUAAAAUUCCUGCGCCCCCUCCCUCCAUUGGCUACGCGGGUUGGGGCAGCAGAAGUGAUGGAAGCUGUCUAAGGAGUGGGGUGGGAAGGACCUUGGCCUCUUUCGGUGUUUAUAACUGGAUCUGUGAUUCAUCGCGUGAGUCACUCAGCCCCACCUCCCUCCCCCGGCUGCCCCUCCCAGCAGUCCUUGCUCCUGGAACAAACCUGUAACCAAAACAGGGGUCUGAAAAUGGAAAAAUCUGAUACAGCUUUUUGCUUCUCUAUCCCUUUCCAUCCAGUGGACAUUUGGGUUUGUGCUGCAGUCUGCUGUUCCCAUACCUCGAGGUAUUAAAGAACAGAAUAAGGCCUCUCCGAAGACUGGUGGGGUGAAGAAAAGAGGAUCAUGGGAUUUUAAAUCUUCGGGGCACACCUUUUCGUAUGCUGCUUCCUUAUUACAGGCCCUACUUUAUUCCACAAGACAUCGAGACUGACUCUGCUCGUGCUAGCUUCACUAUUUCCACAGUUGCAGCCAACACAGGGAACUUUGGAAGCUGAGGCUGGAAGGAUGUGUGCUUGGGGAAGGGAGUAUUGAAUGUCACAGCCCCCACCUAAGGAUUGCUGCCUCUGUACA
rnacentral:lncRNA from 1 species